UACGUAGGAGACGAGCGUUGUCCGGAAUUACUGGGCGUAAAGCGCGUGUAGGCGGAUGAGCAAGUCUGCUGUGAAAGCUCCUGGCUUAACCGGGAGUGGUCGGUGGAAACUGCUCGUCUGGAGGACGGUAGAGGUAGGUAGAAUUCCCGGUGUAGUGGUGAAAUGCGUAGAUAUCUGAAGGAACAUCAGUGGCGAAAGCGACUUCCUGGACCAAUACUGACGCUCAUGUGCGAAAGCGUGGGGAGCAAACAGG
rnacentral:rRNA from 1 species